GCUGGUUGGCGGCAGCUUCCUCCGGUUUCCCACGCUGUCCUUUCCUAGCUGACCCUCCCGAGAAAGCUUUCCCGCGAGGCUGGAAGAGGAGUGGCAAUGAGGACUUUUCUUACAAGCUGCAGAAACGACAUUAAACCACAUACCAGGAGAACGUUCUUAGAGUUGGAAAGCUGUGCAUCAUCAAUUGUCUCUGUUGUGAUUUCCUGGAUUGGCCACAGAUGACUUUGUUCAUGUAGCUCAUUGACCCUUGGUUGGAAAGUCCUUCUCAGUUCUUCAUAAUCCAAGACAGCAGCUGACAUCAAUGUAAAAAGAGAAAGAAGCUAAAAACAGUUGCGUGUGUACGCCCUGAAUUGCAUAUUCAGUUGCAAAAUCAUCAUCAUUAUUAUUGUAAUUACAGAGGGGAGGCAUUUCAAUAAUUGUUCAAAGUGUCUUCUUGAGGAAAUAAGUAAAUCAGGGCCAGCUGUCACAAGCCAAUCUACAAUAAUGAUCCCCGUAUGUGCGUCUUCGGGAUUCAUAACAAUCUACAAUAACAAAUUUGUGCAUUCGUCUACUGUCCCUGAACAGCCUAAAAAAAAUAACAAACCUAUGAUCCGCUCUGAUGUCUCACUUGGUAGUUCACUUGGAUUUUUAAAACAGCAUCCUUGAAUAACCUUAGAGUCAAUAACUGCCAAACAAAAAUUGCAUCACCAAUUUAAUAACGAACAAUGGUGGGUAGCCUGGCAUCCGUCCACCUGUGACAGGAUGGCCACAAACCGAGGUUUCUGAGCCAAGGGGAAGCCAGGUAGACAGAUCUGCAGACAAUGGAGACUGUUUGGAAAGACCCAUCCACUGAGGCAGACGAGCUCUUUUGGCUUGAGAAUUACAAACAGAAACUGUGAAGGCCUUGUUUUCAGCCUACUUGUGAAAUCGGCCCCAAGUAUUUCAGAUUUCGCUCCUCCCAAGAUCCAGCUGUGAAAUGACUAACGGAUAUGAAGUGACACCACACCAGGAACUGAUGUGCCACUUCACUGAACGGAACACGUCCCUGACAGAGGCCGUCCUCGUAGAUUAAUACCUAUGAGAGACGGCACAGAGAAAGUACUGGGCUGCACCACCCCAUAGGCCGAAAGACAGAUUUACUGGGGAUCGAGGCAGAGAGAAAAGCAAACUGCUGGGGAAACAAGAAGAUUUUAUAUGACACCCAGCAGAGUAGGGAUCUGAGCUGACACGGACGGUUGGAUUGACCCGGAACUAGAUGCUCUUGCCUGACAUAGCUGCUGGCCUUUGGGGGAAGAUUAAGGGGCAAGAUUCCUGGUAAACAGAAACCUCCAGAAGAGAGCUGCUUUUCUAGUGAACAUAAACCUUCAGGCUUGCUCAAAAUCCUUCGGUUUACCCAGCCAAAGUCCUCCUGUUUAGGACAAUGUCACCUGCACUGCCAUUUUGGAGGAAGGAGGAUUUUGGACCUGACAAUACCCUGGAUGCUUUAAAGAGGACCAGCCAAGCACAAGCACAGAGCAAUUACAAAGAAUGAGAAUCAUCUGAGAGCCUUCUCAAAAUGUCCUCAUAUCUUGGUAGCUUUGAAUUGUGGUUAUAUCUCUAAUUUCGUGUUCUCGAAGAACCUGCAGAGACAGGGAAAGAAAGAGGAGAAGGAAAAUUGCCGAUCACAUUGCUUUUCUCUCGCUGGACCACUUAGGCUUUUCCAAAUCCAAGUUUUGCUGAAGGCUGGGCCUGAGCCAGGAGAGAAGGGUGAAUGACCUCAAGCUGCUUCACGAGCUUGCCAGCUGCUCUGCUGCAGCCUUCUUAGGUGCUAAGAAUCAUCUUCCUCAUCACAAUGGCUCAGUACAUUUCCAUAUUUGCACUCCCAGCUAAAAGCGAUUUAAGCAGCGUGCAACCUUAUCUCGCUUCAGUAGUUGAGAGAUUUCCUUCAAAAGCAUCAGAAGGGGCAUUGAGAGACAUUUGGGAAGUGGUGUUGAGGUAUAUUUUGCAUAUUUUUAAUUGUAAAAGUAAGACUUAACAAUGAUGAAAAUAAAUGGAAACUCCAAAACGGUUUUGUAUAAAAAGACAAAGAUGCCCUUGCUUUUAUCACAAGUUAAAACUCUGAGAACUAUUUCUCAGCCUAUAUUUUCCAUAUAAGGAUAUAGAAUGCAUACAAAAUUUCUAUUCAGAGUGAUUAUGUAAAUACACAGUAUCUUGUAUGCUGUAUCUAAUAAUACGUCAGCAAAAUUACAUGUCAGCACAUGGAGAUCUUGUAGUCACUAUAUGUGCCGUAAAGCCGACCACUGCCUAAUUAAUGGACAUUUAAAUUCUUUGCUCUUUAUACUGUUGUUAUUAUUACAAAUAACGCUCCCAUCAAUAACCUUAUAUUUAGAAACCUCUGUUGUGACUUUAUCCAUAGAAUAAAUUACUUCAAAGAAAUUUCUAGAUCAUAAUACAUGUGCAUUUAAGAUGUACACUCAAUGACAACUCUUCCUUGCUCAGCAUGUGCAAGGUCCUAGGUUCAAACACACACAAUUAAAUGCUUCCAAAUUGCAACCUUCCCACAUUGUCCUGAUUCAGUCUCCAUAGCAGUGUACAUUCACUGAGCUUUGCUGAGAAGCACAUUUUAUUGAACUUAAACAUCUGUCACUCAGAAGCAUGGGUAUGUUCUCACGGCUUGUAUUUUUCUAAGCACUCGUGAAGCUGAACAUGUUUUCCAAGGGAUUUUGACCACACGUACUUUUUUCCUUUUUUUAAAAGAUUUGUUUAUUUGUUUGUUUGUUUGUUUGUUUAUUAGGCAUACAAUGCUCUGUUGACAUGUACACACCAGAA